AUUGUUAUAAUGCACAUUCAUUGUCUCCUCUUACUCUUUAGAGCCAUCAUUGAAAGAAAAAGUUCUCACCAAGGUUGGUUUGAAGAAUCCUGUUCCCUUCUCAAUCAGCAGCAGGGUGAAAUAACGAAUCAAGACGUUUGGGAGCAGAUUCUGGCAACCAUCUUCGUAAUGGAAAUCACACCCUUUAUCUCUAGCUUUCCUAUGCACUGCCGUCUUGUUUUCAGAAUGUAUGUUUUUUGUUUGUGUUAAUAUUUUGCUGCUAUAAUUCAUUUUUCAUUUAUAAAUCAUUUGUUUAACCUGAGCAGGGAAUUUCUGACAUUAUUUUUUAAAUACUUCUAACUUGUUUAGUGUGAUACCUUUAAACCAUGUCAUUGUCUCUUUUAAGUCUGUUCUUGAAAACAAAAAUGACUUCUUUGUCUUGAAACAGAAAACAGGGUAUAUCACGCUGUAGUUUUGUAUAUGCAAAAUUGUAUUAUUGUGUCAUGUCAUGUAAUUAAGAAAAUGAAUUAAAAACAAAAUGGGAAAUAUACAUUUAAA